GGGGAUUAGUGGCGAACGGGUGAGUAACACGUUGGGCAAUCUGCCCUGCACUCUGGGACAAGCCCUGGAAACGGGGUCUAAUACCGGAUACUNACUGCCUUGGGCAUCCUUGGNGGUGGAAAGCUCCGGCGGUGCAGGAUGAGCCCGCGGCCUAUCAGCUAGUUGGUGAGGUAAUGGCUCACCAAGGCGACGACGGGUAGCCGGCCUGAGAGGGCGACCGGCCACACUGGGACUGAGACACGGCCCAGACUCCUACGGGAGGCAGCAGUGGGGAAUAUUGCACAAUGGGCGAAAGCCUGAUGCAGCGACGCCGCGUGAGGGAUGACGGCCUUCGGGUUGUAAACCUCUUUCAGCAGGGAAGAAGCGAAAGUGACGGUACCUGCAGAAGAAGCGCCGGCUAACUACGUGCCAGCAGCCGCGGUAAUACGUAGGGCGCAAGCGUUGUCCGGAAUUAUUGGGCGUAAAGAGCUCGUAGGCGGCUUGUCACGUCGGUUGUGAAAGCCCGGGGCUUAACCCCGGGUCUGCAGUCGAUACGGGCAGGCUAGAGUUCGGUAGGGGAGAUCGGAAUUCCUGGUGUAGCGGUGAAAUGCGCAGAUAUCAGGAGGAACACCGGUGGCGAAGGCGGAUCUCUGGGCCGAUACUGACGCUGAGGAGCGAAAGCGUGGGGAGCG
rnacentral:rRNA from 2 species